CAUUAACUGAAUCCAUAGGUUAAUGAGGCGAACCGGGGGAACUGAAACAUCUAAGUACCCCGAGGAAAAGAAAUCAACCGAGAUUCCCCCAGUAGCGGCGAGCGAACGGGGAGGAGCCCAGAGCCUGAAUCAGCAUGUGUGUUAGUGGAAGCGUCUGGAAAGGCGCGCGAUACAGGGUGACAGCCCCGUACACAAAAGCGCAUGUGCUGUGAGCUCGAUGAGUAGGGCGGGACACGUGGUAUCCUGUCUGAAUAUGGGGGGACCAUCCUCCAAGGCUAAAUACUCCUGACUGACCGAUAGUGAACCAGUACCGUGAGGGAAAGGCGAAAAGAACCCCGGCGAGGGGAGUGAAAAAGAACCUGAAACCGUGUACGUACAAGCAGUGGGAGCCCCACCACCAAAGCAUUUGCUGUACCGCGUUGACGGAGCGAAGCGACGUCAAACCGAUAAAACAGCAGUGUAAAGUGAGCCGCAGGGCGCUUUGCGCGACAGCGCAAAGGCAGGCGGUUUCGCGUAGCGAAAGCGAAUGCUUUGGGGUGG
rnacentral:rRNA from 1 species